GUCUUAAAACAAUAAUGAAUUGUUUAUGAAAGAACAAAAUAGAAAAAAGAGAGCACCAUUCGAAUUCAUUGGUUCAAUUUACCAUAUAUUAUUCGGAAUUAUGGAUGCUGAUGACCGAGAAAAUAUGGAAUCAAAACUAGAAAUAUUUUCGACAACCAAAAAGUUAUAGCAAAAUUGUUUAAAAGGCAGACAUCGGUAGUUGAUUCUACCAUAAAUAUAUUAAAAAAGACAACAGAUAAAGUUAACCGUAAUUUUGAGAAAAUCCCAGGUAGGAAUUGCCAAGCUUCACGACCGGAUCAACCGUGGAUUAGUCGUGGUUAACCAGGCUUUGGUAGUCCGGGACUGAACCAGGCUUGGUAUCUUAGUCACAUCGGGUAAAGUCCAGGCUUGGAUCCCUCCCUGGUAUCAAGCCUGGUUGCCAAGUUUGUACCAAGUCUGGAAGAAGUCUGGUUCAUUCAGCCUUGGCUUAUAGUUUCUCAGCCAGUCCUGGGCCCAGGCUGGCUGAAAUUGAUUCCUUUUCAAUCAGGCUGCAUCCUGAUUUUACUUCGCUGCGAAAUCAAAACGUUGCAAUGUCUAAUAGUAUAAUGCUUGAUUGCUAACUCCAUAUUAAUUUCCUUCUCAAUAUUUAUAAUAUUGACAUCCAGUUGGCGCUUCCAUCGAGAACACAAAUGUCAACGUCUAAAAAUUAAAUUCGAUUAAUGAGUGGUGUUCAAUCAUGAGUUCCACAGGGUAUUCGAAUUCGCGGGAACGAGUGAAAAAAUACCGUUUUUUAAAAACAUUUGGUGACUCUAAUGUUAAUAAUAGUAUGGACAGUUCUGAUGAGGAUUUUCGUGAUGAAUCAAUGGAUUCUUCUGAUAAAAACUUGCUCCAAGCACAGAAAGAUGAAAGGAGCCCUAACCAAGCAAAGCCAUCUCAUGAUUUAGAAAAUUGUGCAGAAUCUCCAAGUGGAGUUCUACAACAAGAUACAUCGCUAGAGAGUUUCGCAGGGUUUUCAAGUUUUAUGUCGGUUGACGACGAUGAUGACAACGCAAUAACACCUGUCAGUCUGGGAGCAAAUGCAGCCCCUCAACAGACCGAGCUGAUGAACUUAGGAAUUGAGAUUGAAGCACCUCAGACCCUCACUGAGAAAAUACGCCAGCUAACACUUGAUAAUAUAGGCAGCAUCAAGAUGAAAGUGGCGAGUGGAUUUUUAGAAAUUCUGCGUAGUGAAGGACACACUGAAGUGCCAUCCACUGCCCAUAAACUUCUUGGCUUCAAUCACCGCGUGAAAACCAAACCGAUGAUGGUGUAUAAAGAUCAGAUUGGGGAUUUUUUUUAUCUCGGAAUUCGAAAUGGUUUGGAGAAACGAAUAGACGUGAAUGUCUACAAAGAACAAAACAUACGUGUGUUAGUUCAUAUAGAUGGAUUGAAGGUAUACCAUUAUUCCAAGGGAAGUCUCUGGCCUAUUACGAUGAAGUUGGUGACAAAAAAAUAUACCUGCGGUCCUUUUGUAGUAGCCUUGUUUUAUGGUAGGUCCAAGCCAAAAAAUGUGAGUGAUUUUUUGAGUGAUUUCGUAGAGGAAGCUAAAAAAUUAAUCUUCGAAGGCAUAACCAUCGAUGGUUGUAAAUUCAAUUUUGAAAUAAAAGCUAUUGUUGCGGAUAGUCCAGCGAGGGCAUUCCUCAAGUGCAUAAAAGGGCCAACAGCCUUUUAUGGCUGUGAAAGAUGUACAGUUCAAGGGGAAACUCGGAAUCGAAGAAGAGUUUAUCCUGAUUUGAACUGUGCAUUACGAACGAAAGAGAAUUUUGUCACUCAAACAGAUGUCAAUCAUCACUUAAGGGAUAAAAAAACGCAGCAACUGCUGGUUUCACCAUUGCUUCAGAUUCCUAAUUUUGAUCCAGUUAAAGACUUCCCGUUAGAUAUUAUGCAUUUCUUAUUUUUAAAUGUAAUGAAAAAUCUUGGAGAAAAAUGGGUGAAGAGGGAGAAAAAUAAUUAUAAAUUAUCAACACAACAGUUGAAAGAAUUUUCAGAUUUAAUGAAUUCGAUGAAAGAUUAUGUAACGGCAGAAUUUCAGAGGAAGGAGUUUGAUGUCGAGGAAAUUGGGCAAUGGAAAGCAACUCAGUGCUCAUUUUUACUGCUUUACGCCGGUGGCAUUGUCCUGCAGCUUGUUCUCGAUGAUGACAAAUAUCAACACUUUCUGCUACUUCAUGUAGCAUGUCGUGUUUUGUGCAGUGAUAAAUUGAUAACCAGGGGUCUUCCCAUGGCAAAGAUUCUAUUGCAUAAUUUCGUUCAACUAAUGCCGAUUUAUUAUGGAGAAGACAGUGUCAUAAUGACAAUUCAUCACCUCAGUCACCUCUCUGAUGACGCAGCUCAAUUUAAAACCUCACUGAGCCACUACUCUGCAUUUUGGGGGGAGAAUUUUAUAGGCCAGUUGAAGGAUUUUGCAAGUAGCCGAGCGAAACCCAUGGCACAAAUCGCCUCAGUGCUUUAGACUCAUCAGACAGUGCAAAAGUGAGACCUCGUGUUGCAAUACGUGAUGUGAAACCUGAAAAAUUCCCUGAGACAGUUAAAAUAAGUUGUGAAGAAUAUUCAUCAGUCAAAUCAGUAACUUAUAAUGACAUGAUUCUACAUGCUGUGGAACCUAACAAUGUCGUGGAACUAACCACGGAAAAACUCUUUGUUAUUUCAAAAUUAUGGGUUAAAUCAAAGUGCCAUCAUAGUGAAAAGUCAACGGACGAUAUUUACUUAGAUGGAUUUAAACUGCACUCCUUAAAUGAUGUGUUUGACGCUCCCUGUGCGUCAAGAGAAAUUGGCAUUUUCGCAAUUGACAAAUUAGCAGGUUCGCAUGAGCUGGUAACCAUCGGUGCUGUGAAAUCCAAGUGUUUAAUGAUGAAAAUCAAAGAAAAAUAUUAUGCUGUGUCCUCGUUGCAUUCAUAACGUCGAUUGUUUCAAUAGUGCAAUGUUGAUGGCUAUGAUGGUUUUUGCGGGGGUUUUCGCACGGAGAGAGGAGACGGAUCCAGUGUCAAAUUUUUGAAAAACGGCGGUUCAUUUGUAAAUGUUGGUGUUAUUGUACAUAUAUCCCGCAAUAACGGUGAUAUUGCGUCAUUUUUCUGCACGGCGUCAUUGCCUGUGGGCAAUCCAUAACAGCUUGGAUUAAUUCGCUAUUUCACGUAAGUAUUUUUGCCAAUUGUUUAUGAUUCAGAAUGAAGUAUUAUUCUCUUCUCCUCUUUUAUUAGUUGUCUCAGCAUUUGUCGAAAAUUUUACACAUUUCCACAAUCUUUUCAUAUAACCUCCAAAAAUUAUGCCUGAUGAUGUUGACGUCAUAAUUUACUGUGUUGAAACAUUGAGCGAUAAAAAAACUUUAGACAGUAAAUUCACACAUUUGUGAGAAUACUUUUUAAAAAUACUUCCAUUGAAUAUUACGUCAAUUAAUUAUUCGAAAAAUUAUUACAAAAUACAUUUGUGAGAAUACUUUUUAAAAAUACUUCCAUUGAAUAUUACGUCAAUUAAUUAAUCGAAGAAUUGUUGCAAAAUACUUCGCACAUUGAAAGGACCAUUCACUUAAACUGUCUCAUUCAAGUACACAUUUUUUUAUUCAUCAACUUCCUCGGAAUGAGUACUCAAGAGGAAGAUGGCAAAUUGUUUCAAAUUGUGGAGUUCCUGGACGAAAUUACUGAGACUGGGAAAAAAACCCUUGAAAUCGUUCCAGCGUCGUGGGUGACCAGAACCGAUGGAAACAACAAUAGUACUUGUGCUUUUCCUCCCCCACAUAAAUAUUGUAUAAUAGACACAAAAGUGAAAGAUCUCAGUCCUCCAGAAUCAUCGUGGGAGAAAUUUGACGUUGAAAUUCUCACAAGUGCUCGUAUGAAUAACGUUAUACUAAUAUUUUCAUGCAUACCCAAUAGUUUAUCAACGAAUUGAAAUAAAUGAACUCUUCUUUAUUAGUUUUUAACCUACUCUUUUCAGGGAAUUACGACAAGGCCCAGAGGAGGAUCAAACGUCUUUAUAAAAAACGUGAUAACGUAGAAUCCACAGAUUCAGGUACUGAAACCAAUCGAGCUAGAAAAUUAACCAAAAAUCAAGCGGCAAUGAUGUCAAGGCAAACUUUUUCUCUCUUAGAACAAAUUGUCGAAGAAAGGGAGUCCUCUACAUUAAGAACAUCGAGAAUUCCUGAGGCUGAAGUUUCCAGAAAUAAAAAUCAACCAAGAGAUGAUGAGGCAGCCGGGGCUAGAGCGUCUCAAAGUAGAACAGCGUACAGUGACACAAAAUCAGAGAAAAAAUCGGCAUUGAUAGCUUGCCUUACACGUCUGAGGGGGAGUGCCAUAGGCGAUCCUCUUAAAGAAUUUGUCAUGGAUUACUGGGAUGCUAAAUUGGAUUUCCUCAUGUACAAACUACGUGACGAUUUCUCAAACUUAAAACGAUGCAUCCAGUACGAUUUAAAUAGAAAAAUCGAAGAGCUCAAAAUUAACAUGACCAUGCAUCAUGUUGCUGGAGCUCAACCCAUGGCGUCCCCUAUUGAAGAAUUAUCUACAAACUUUCCUAUUAAGACUUUGGAAGAGUUCCUCGAUUUUGAGAGGACUCUCGACCCAAUGCAUGAGGACAAUUUGGCUGACCCUGAAAAGGCUUUGAGCAAGCGUGUGACACUUAAAGAAUUUAUGAGUGUGUUAACGCAUAAAGAAUCCAAUUACGCUGCAGACAUUAAGAAGAUCCUCAAGGAAUUAAUCGCCAAAGAAGUUCAACUUAAUUAUAGUGGCGUAGGCCGUGUUGUCAAAGGAAAAGGAAAAAAAAAUUUCAGUGCAACAGCGACUUUUGCGUGUAUGAGAGGAUUGCAUACGAAGUCCAUUCAUGGUAACUGACUUAUUUGGUUUUCAUUGAUUUUUUUACUCGGUUUCCAGAUUUCAUUGAGACAAAAUAUAAAGACUCUAAUCGACCAUUGAAGAUUAUUACGACUACAAGUGAUUGGCUAGCAGGUGCUGGCGACAGAGAUGGAGGAUGCAUACAGCGUAAAAAGGAAGUUGGUGCAGUUUAACUGAAAAAAGAGCUUAGAAGGAUCGAACCAAAACUCACCAGUCAGUGAAAACUUAAUUUUGCGAAUUUACUGUUUUUCGUGUUAAAAAAAAGGAGUUAAUUUUUAACGUUAAUUUUUUUGUUCAAUAUUAUCAAGGGGUUUGUCCAGUUACGACAAUUCAGGCAAUAAAUUUGUAUUUUUUGUGUUUAAAAAAGGAGUUACGUUAAUGUUUGUUGUUCAUUAUUAUCGGCAGUUUUGUUUAGUUACGACAACAUAAUGCUUAUUUUUCAUUUUCCAUGUGGAUAAAGUCCAUUUAAAGUAUAUGUAUAACAAUAUAGAAAAUAUUAAUAAUAUAAUAAAGAUUAAACAUAAUUACUUCCGAUAAAUCGUGCUUCAUUGAAUGUGUCAAUCCACAAAAUACCUAUUCAAAUUACAUCUGAACCCUGGCUAAGCCAAGGUAUUAAAAAAAAAUAAGCUUGGAACGGCGCUGGUUCCAGGGCCUGGACCAGUGUUAAUAAACGGCCUGGGCCAGCCCUAGUUACCAGGUCUGGCCCCACGUUACAUUCCAAUGCUCAUCCACUAUUGGUCCGGGCUUGGAUACCAAGCCUGAUCCAAGCUUACCAAGUCUUGGGAACGGCUUGGUUAAAGGCUGGGCCAUUGGUGAUUUCCUACCUGGGAUGAAUCAACAACUUAAUAAAUUUUAUAACGAGCUAAUAAAAGAUCAAAAUGCUGAGCGAAUGACCUUGAUGUUUCAAAUAUUCACCGCACUUAUGUACACUAAGCAUACACACAUAUACAUAUGUACCUAGUUAAGAGAUUAGAAUUAAGAAAUGUAUUGACGAAACAAAUUUAAAUAAAGAAUUUCAGAGUCAAACGUGAACUCUCACAGUAA